rnacentral:rRNA from 1 species
UACAGGGACUGCAAGCGUUAUUCGGAUUCACUGGGCGUAAAGGGUGCGCAGGCGGCCGUGUGUGUCAGGUGUGAAAGCCCGGGGCUUAACCCCGGAAUUGCGCCUGAAACUACAUGGCUAGAGCAUUGGAGAGGGUAGCGGAAUUCACGGUGUAGCAGUGAAAUGCGCAGAUAUCGUGAGGAACACCGGUGGCGAAGGCAGCUCACUGGGACGGUACUGACGCUGAGACGCGAAAGCGUGGGGAGCAAACAGG